UACGUAGGUGGCAAGCGUUGUCCGGAUUUACUGGGUGUAAAGGGAGCGCAGGCGGGACGGCAAGUUGGAUGUGAAAAACUGAGGCUCAACCUCAGUCCUGCAUCCAAAACUGUUGUUCUUGAGUGGAGCAGAGGUAAGCGGAAUUCCGAGUGUAGCGGUGAAAUGCGUAGAUAUUCGGAGGAACACCAGUGGCGAAGGCGGCUUACUGGACUCUAACUGACGCUGAGGCUCGAAAGCGUGGGGAGCAAACAGGAUUAGAUACCCGCGUA
rnacentral:rRNA from 1 species